rnacentral:ribozyme from 1 species
AAAAGAAGAAAAAAAAAAAGAAAAAAGGAAAAGAAUGAAAAAUGAAAAUGACAUGACCAGAGGUAUGUAGCAUGUUAGUCCCUAUCUGAGCUAUUUUCUCCACUUUUGGGAGCUUUAGGCAGUCUCUAAUGAGAGAGAGUUUUAUAGA